UACGUAGGGGGCAAGCGUUGUCCGGAAUCAUUGGGCGUAAAGAGCGUGUAGGCGGCCAGAAAAGUCCGCUGUGAAAACUCGAGGCUCAACUUCGAGCUGUCGGUGGAAACUUUCUGGCUAGAGUCCGGAAGAGGAGAAUGGAAUUCCUGGUGUAGCGGUGAAAUGCGCAGAUAUCAGGAAGAACACCCCGUGGCGAAGGCGGUUCUCUGGGACGGUACUGACGCUGGAGACGCGAAAGCGUGGGGAGCGAACAGG
rnacentral:rRNA from 1 species